AACGAACGCUGGCGGCAUGCCUAACACAUGCAAGUCGAACGAACCCUUCGGGGUUAGUGGCGCACGGGUGCGUAACGCGUGGGAAUCUGCCCUUUGCUUCGGAAUAACAGUUAGAAAUGACUGCUAAUACCGGAUGAUGUCUUCGGACCAAAGAUUUAUCGGCAAGGGAUGAGCCCGCGUAGGAUUAGGUAGUUGGUGGGGUAAAGGCCUACCAAGCCGACGAUCCUUAGCUGGUCUGAGAGGAUGAUCAGCCACACUGGGACUGAGACACGGCCCAGACUCCUACGGGAGGCAGCAGUGGGGAAUAUUGGACGAUGGGGGAAACCCUGAUCCAGCAAUGCCGCGUGAGUGAUGAAGGCCUUAGGGUUGUAAAGCUCUUUUACCAGGGAUGAUAAUGACAGUACCUGGAGAAUAAGCUCCGGCUAACUCCGUGCCAGCAGCCGCAGUAAUAC
rnacentral:rRNA from 1 species